rnacentral:rRNA from 2 species
GGCGAGGGGAGUGAAAAAGAACCUGAAACCGUGUACGUACAAGCAGUGGGAGCACAGGUUUACCUGUGUGACUGCGUACCUUUUGUAUAAUGGGUCAGCGACUUAUAUUCUGUAGCAAGGUUAACCGAAUAGGGGAGCCGUAGGGAAACCGAGUCUUAAUUGGGCGUUAAGUUGCAGGGUAUAGACCCGAAACCCGGUGAUCUAGCCAUGGGCAGGUUGAAGGUUGGGUAACACUAACUGGAGGACCGAACCGACUAAUGUUGAAAAA